rnacentral:pre_miRNA from 2 species
UUAAACCAUUUAACAAUUCAACCCAUCAAAUUAAAUGAUUUAUGGGUUGACCCAACUUAUUUUGUUAAAUAGGUUGGGUCAACCCAUAACUCAUUUAACCCUAAACUCAUUUGAUUAUGAGU